rnacentral:rRNA from 1 species
UAGGGAAUCUUCCGCAAUGGACGCAAGUCUGACGGAGCAACGCCGCGUGAGUGAAGAAGGAUUUCGGUUCGUAAAACUCUGUUGUUAGAGAAGAACAGCGCAUAGAGUAACUGUUAUGCGUGUGACGGUAUCUAACCAGAAAGCCACGGCUAACUACGUGCCAGCAGCCGCGGUAAUACGUAGGUGGCAAGCGUUGUCCGUAUUUAUUGGGCGUAAAGCGAGCGCAGGCGGUCAAUUAAGUCUGAUGUGAAAGCCCCCGGCUCAACCGGGGAGGGUCAUUGGAAACUGGUUGACUUGAGUGCAGAAGAGGAGAGUGGAAUUCCAUGUGUAGCGGUGAAAUGCGUAGAUAUAUGGAGGAACACCAGUGGCGACAGCGGCUCUCUGGUCUGUAACUGACGCUGAGGCUCGAAAGCGUGGGGAGCGAACAGG